AUCCUGGUCCAGGAUGAACGCUGGCGGCGUGGAUAAGGCAUGCAAGUCAUACGGUACUGAGGUCGCAAGACCGAAGUGCAGUGGCGAAUUGGUUAGUAACACGUAGAUAAUCUGCCUCGAGGACAGGCAUAGUCCCGCGAAAGCGGGAAUAAUUCCUGAUAGUAAUGAGGGGGCGAAAGCCAUUCUCAUUUAAAGCCGCAAGGCACCUCGAGAUGAGUCUGCGUCCUAUCAGCUAGUUGGUAGGGUAACGGCCUACCAAGGCGAUGACGGGUAGGGGGGAUGAGAGUCUGUUCCCCAACAAGGGCACUGAGACAUGGGCCCUACUCCUACGGGAGGCAGCAGUCGAGAAUAUUCGGCAAUGGGGGAAACCCUGACCGAGCGACGCCGCGUGAGCGAAGAAGGCCUUCGGGCUGUAAAGCUCUUUUCUUUGGGAAGAAGUCGCCGCUGAGGCGACUGACGGUACCAGAGGAAUAAGGGGAUGCAAAUUCUGUGCCAGCAGCCGCGGUAAGACAGAAUCCCCAAGCGUUAUCCGGAUUUAUUGGGCGUAAAGCGCCUGUAGGCGGCAGGACAAGUCUUUAAUUAAAACUCAAGGGCUCAACCUUUGAGUUGUUAAAGAUACUAUCCAGCUAGAGGGCAUUAGGAGCUGACGGAACGGUCGGUGUAGGGGUGAAAUCCAUUGAUAUCGACCGGAACACCAAAAGCGAAGGCAGUCAGCUAAGAUGACCCUGACGCUGAGAGACGAAAGCGUGGGGAGCAAAAAGGAUUGGCAUGGGUAUCCAAUUUCAUGGUAAAAUGAGGUUGGUAGCUAGUCCCUUCUAUUGGCAACAAUAGAAAGAAAACUUGGCUAUAUCGGUAAAAAUCCAUUAGAAAAAUGGAAAAUACCGAGGGAAGCGAGCGCUCAAGCGCUUCGCCCCGUAGAGACUAUACGCCGAGGUCGCCUUUGGCGACAUGAUAUAGUCCGAACUGCACGGUAACGCGCAGAGCACGACAGAAAUGUCCUGCCUAUCUGAUUUAAUAUAAUCAGGUUAGUAACAUUUUGUAGAUACCCUUGUAGUCCACGCCCUAAACUAUGGAUACUGGCUGCUUGAAGUGUCGACCCUUCAAGUGGCGAAGCUAACGCGUUAAGUAUCCCGCCUGGGAAGUACGGCCGCAAG
rnacentral:rRNA from 1 species